GCGCGUAAAUUGCCCGAAUCCUGACACAGGGAGGUAGUGACAAGAAAUAACGAUACAGGGCUACAUCUAGUCUUGUAAUUGGAAUGAGUACAAUUUACAUCUCUUAACGAUGAUCAAUUGGAGGGCAAGUCUGGUGCCAGCAGCCGCGGUAAUUCCAGCUCCAAUAGCGUAUAUUAAAGUUGUUGCAGUUAGAACGCUCGUAGUCGGAUUUCGGGGCGGUCCGACCGGUCUGCCGAUGGGUACGCACUGGUCGGAGCGUCCUUUUUGCCGGAGACCGUUCCUACUCUUAACUGAGCGGGAGCGGGAGACGGCACUUUUACUUUGAAAAAAUCAGAGUGUUUCAAGCAGGCAGCUCGCUCUUGCAUGGAUUAGCAUGGGAUAAUGAAAUAGGACUUUGGUGCUAUUUUGUUGGUUUCGAACACCGAAGUAAUGAUGAGAAGGGACAGUCAGGGGCACUCGUAUUCC
rnacentral:rRNA from 1 species